AUACUUGGAGGGAAAUCUAUUAGGAACGUUACCAAAUGGAAUUUUUGAUGCAUUGACGAAGCUACAGACACUAGACUUCGAGGGAAAUCAAUUAGAAACGUUACCAAAUGGAAUUUUUAAUGCAGUGACGAAGCUACAGACACUAGACUUGAGAAACAACAAAAUAACAACGUUACCAAAUGGAAUUUUUGAUGCAUUGACGAAGCUAGAAACACUAAACUUGGGUAACAAUACCAUAACAACGUUACCAAAUGGAAUCUUUAAUGCAUUGACGAAGCUACAGGAACUAUACUUGUGGGGAAAUAAAAUAGCAACGUUACCAAAUGGAAUUUUUGAUACAUUGACGAAGCUAGAGAAACUAGACCUGGAGAGAAAUAAAUUAGCAACGUUACCAAAUGGAACCUUUGAUGCAUUGACGAAACUAAA